ACGGAAGGCAGCAGUGGGGAGUAUUGCACAAUGGGCGAAAGCCUGAUGCAGCAACGCCGCGUGAGUGAAGACGUAUUUCGGUAUGUAAAGCUCUAUCUAUGGGGAAUAAGAUGAAGGUACCCAAGUAAGAAGCCCCGGCUAACUACGUGCCAGCAGCCGCGGUAAUACGUAGGGGGCAAGCGUUAUCCGGAUUUACUGGGUGUAAAGGGAGCGUAGACGGAAUGGCAAGUUUGAAGUGAAAUACCUGUGCUUAACGCAGGAAUUGCUUUGAAAACUGUUAAUCUAGAGUACUGGAGUGGUAUGGGGAAUUCCGAGUGUAGCAGUGAAAUGCGUAGAUAUUAGGAAGAACACCGGAGGCGAAGGCGGCAUACUGGACAGAUACUGACGUUGAGGCUCGAAAGCGUGGGGAGCAAACAGGAUUAGAUACCCUGGUA
rnacentral:rRNA from 1 species